CGAUACUCGACCAAAUACUGUGCAUGGUUAUCUGAAAUUCUAGACAAUAGUUCACAUCCCAGUGGCAGGUAAGAACCUUCUUUUUAAUUUAUCAAAUGGCGUCAAUAGACCAUAAAAUUAUCUUCAUUUAUAAUACUAAAGAUAUGUCAAUACAUGUUCUUACAUUUAGGCUCCUAAACCUGUUGAAUGAGUUCUAUAUACAAGAUUUAUAUUGUCCUUCUAUAAAUUAAGACUACACUUGCUAUUGAUGAGUCUAUAAUUGUCAACCUGGACAGUAACAACACACUAUCGUUUUAUCUCUCAAUGUGAGCAAGUAAGAUUUUUUUUCAGAGCUUUAUUCUUUUGUAUUAUUUUUCUAUUACAGAAGUUGAUGCUCCAUCUUGUUAUUCAUUUCCUGGGAUCAUUUCUCGAGGAAUGUACGGAUUUCUCGAAGUGACGCAAUGCUAUGAUCUUCAACCAUGAAAAUGAAACUGUCAGCGCUGAUGGCCUGCUCCUGUGAUCUCAUAGCAUUGUGUCAAGGAGCAGGUGGAGAGGGAGAAAGAGAAAGGGAGAAUGGAAGCCAAGUGAUAGACAAAGAGAGUGAAAGGUAUUUGGUUCAAAAUAUAUUUUUCUACUGUUAACCGAUAGCAUGGAUAUCACUAUUUAUGAUCAUGAUGUCCAUAAGAAAUCAUCAUGACAUGUCGAAUCCUCAACCACUCAGUUAGAUGUUGAUGGAUCUGCAUCACAGCUUCUGUUGAACUCUCAUGGUUGGAGAUACUGCAAGAAUUCUGAUUCGGCACGGCCCUCAUGGAGACAAUGGAGAUGGUGUUCAGCGGUGCGCUCAGCUAGAGUUCGCCGUACGUCCGACAUUUGCUGAUUCGGCAGGGCCCUCAUGGAAACAAAUUCAGGGCGCAGAGAAACUAAUGGAGCAACCAGGAGUCCAAUCAUUUUAAGGCAGAACAUUGAACAUAUCAGUGAUCGGACACUCGAGACAACUCUUAAUGAGUUCUAGCAACCAAAGACAGAAUAUUUGCGUAGGAUGCAACAAAGCUGCAUGUCAUGAGAUUAUUGAAUACGUUGAGUAAUUUGGAAUGGAAACAUUUUUGGUUAAAUAGGAUGCUCUUGAGAUUA